GUCCUUUAGUUUAUUUAUUUAAGGUCUGACCUGCCCACUGAAAUUAUUUGAAGGGCCGCAGUAAUUUGACUGUGCAAAGGUAGCAUAAUCAUUAGUUUUUUAAUUGAAAGCUUGUAUGAAGGGUUGGACGAGGUAAAUUCUGUCUCUAUUUAAUUUAUAAUAAAAUUUAAUUUUUAAGUUAAAAAGCUUAAAUUUAUUUAAAAGACGAGAAGACCCUAUAGAUCUUUAUAUUAUUAUUAUUAAUUUUAAUAUAGAAUUAUUUAUUAAUUAAUGAUAAUAAUAUUUUAUUGGGGUAAUAAAAAGAUUUAAUGAAUUCUUUUUGAAUUUAUUCAUAAAUUAAUGUUUAUAUGAUCCAAUUAUUUUGAUUAAAAGAUUAAGUUACCUUAGGGAUAACAGCGUAAUUUUUUUAGAGAGUUCAUAUCGAUAAAAAAGUUUGCGACCUCGAUGUUGGAUUAAAAAUUAUCUUAGGUGCAGAAGUUUAAGAUUUUGGUCUGUUCGACCAUUAAAUUUUUACA
rnacentral:rRNA from 1 species